CCUGAGUUUCCUUUCUCGGUUUCGGGGUGGGUCCGAGGAAGGACCAGAGGACCACCAUCGCUAGUGGUCAGGGGCUGAGGGCGGGGUGGACGAGGAGUGGGAGGAAUUGAUCUGACUCUGACAGAUACCAUCAAAUCCGGACUUGCUUCAAAGACUGCUGUUGUAGGGACAAGGCUUGGGUCUCAGAGCUGUGCCCGCGUCACAAAUCAGAAGCGGGCUUUUCUGUGGCAGGAGGAUGAGCAGAAGGAGGUGUGACAGCCGCCGUCUCUCUGGUCAGCGAAUUCUCAGCUCAGGACACUGUGGUCUUUGCGGAUGUGGCUGUGAACUUCACUCAGGAGGAGUGGGCUUUGCUGGAUGGUGCUCAGAGGAAGCUCUACAGAGAAGUGAUGCUGGAGACCUUCAGGAACUUGGCCACCGUGGUUGUUACAGAUUGUUUCACUCAAGUUAAAACCCGUGCCUCACGUCCUGGGCAGGAUACUUUGGAGAAUAAAAUACCCAGUGAAGAGAAAAUACUAAGGGUCACAAGAAAUGAUUCCUGGCCUGGUUUUAGAGGAAACUGUACAGACCAUAACAUUGCAGAGCAGCACCAGCCCCAGGAGAGGCAUCUGAGAAGUCAUGUGCUGGAGGCUCCCUGUGAGAGGGGUGAAGCUCAUCCAUGCGGAGACACCCUGAACCCCGUCACAGAUCUUCCUGUGGAGGAGGGACACCCACUCGGAGCUAAAUCCCAUGAAUGUGCUAAGUGUGGAAAAGCCUGCUCGAGUCAGCCAAGGUCUCCCACUGGACAUGAACCUCAUCCCUGUGAGGAAUGUGGACAAGCCUACAUGUGUGUCUUGUGUGCAGGCCCUCACGUGGAACCAGAGCGUGUGGACAAACCCUGUCACUGUCGGGACACUGGGAGAUACGUGAAGAGCCUCAGUAAUACAAACUCCAUCGAGUGUCAGAAAUGUGGAAAAGCCUUCACUUGCCACUCCUCCUUUCGGGGACAUUUGAGAGGUCACUGUGGACAGAAAAUCCAUGUAUGCAAAGUAUGUGGGAAAGCCUUUAUGUAUUACUUCUACCUUACAGGACAUGCGAGAACUCACACUGGAGAGAAGCCCUAUGAGUGCAAGGCAUGCGGGAAGGGUUUCGGUAGUCUGAAAUACUUUAGAAGACAUGUGAGGACACACAGUGGAGUGAAACCCUAUGUAUGUAAGGAGUGUGGGAAAGUCUACAGGUAUCUCACAAAUCUGCAAGAACACGCAAGGACGCACAGUGGGGAGAGGCCCUAUGUAUGUCAGCACUGUGGGAAAGCCUUCAGUCGCCACUCCUCCCUGCGUGGGCACGUAAGAACGCACAGUGGAGUGAAGCCCUAUGAGUGUCAGCAGUGUGGGAAGGCGUUCAGGUUUCCUGCAAACCUGCAAGUACACGUGAGGACACACACUGGGGAGAGGCCCUGCGAGUGUCAGCACUGCGGGAAAGCAUUUAGGUAUGCCGCCUCGCUGCGAGUACAUGUGAGGACACACACUGGGGAGAGGCCCUAUGAAUGCCAGCAGUGUGGCAAAGCCUUCACCAGCCACUCUUACCUUCAGAAACACGUGCGAACACACAGUGGGGAGAAAUCCUACAAAUGUAAGGAGUGUGGGAAAGCUUUCAGGCAGCUGCAACAUUUUCAAGGUCACAUGAGACUACACAGUGGGGUGAAACCUUAUGAAUGUAAAGAGUGCGGGAAAUCCUACAGUUUUCUCUCAUCCCUUCGAAUACACGUAAGAAUGCAUAGUGGGGAGAGACCCUUCAAGUGUCAGCAGUGUGGGAAAGCCUUCAGUCGUCUCUGCUCACUUCAAGGACAUAUGAGGUCACACACUGGGGUGAAACCCUAUGAGUGUAAGGAGUGUGGGAAAUGCUUCAGGUAUCCUGAUAACCUGCGAGUACAUGUGAGGACACACACUGGGGAGAGACCUGAUGAGUGUCAGCACUGUGGGAAAGCCUUCCGGUAUCCCACAUCCCUGCGCAAACAUGUGAGAACACACAGUGAAAAGGAUACGUGAAUGUCGGCAAUGUGAGAAAGCCUUCACAGGUGGCAAAUACCUGCAAGCACGUGAGGACACAUGAUGGACAGAAACUCUGAACACGAGGACUGGGAUACCUUUAUUAUUCCUGAAAAUUGUGUUGUAAAUGUGAGCAAACACACUGGAGAGAAACUGUAUGGAUGGAAAAAAAUUCCGAUGUAGCACUUCUCUCAUUUUGUACAUUAAAAUUCAGAGCAGGCUGAAAUCUUUUAAUUAUUAUACGUAUGGUAUUGCCUUUGUAAAUAGCUCAUCCUUAAUAGCAAUUUCUAGUGUAUUAAUUUCUGGUUAUGUUUCUGAUAUAAAAACUUGAGAUAAGAAAUAUUUCUCUAUGUUCCUUCAUCUGCACUACACAUUUUAUUAUCUUGGACUUUAAUAAUUGUAUAGUUGUAUAACACUUGUCUUGUUGCCAUUAUUAUUACUUUUGGACUUAGGGGUAUUUAGUUGGGUUUUUUUCAUAAUUUAGUGAUUUUUAUUGUGUAAAAUUUACAGUUGGGGAAACUAAGGCUCAAAGAGCCAAAGUGACUUGCCCAAUAUCAUACAACAGUUAAGAGUUGCUGGGGCUUCUCUCUCUUUUUUUGUAAUGGCAAAACUUCAUUUAUAUUUGUAAAUUUGGAGUGGUAGACAUACUACUUUUAUAUUUUAUCUUUUUCAGUUAUGAUUUACAUUCAAUAUUUUUUGUAUUAGUUUCUGGUUUGACAGCAUAGUGAUUAGAUUAAGUGGUUAUUUUUAUUUUCAUGUGAAAUGAUAAUAAUUUUAGAUGAAAAGUGUUUUGACUCUUUCCAUUUUGUUCCCAGUAUGUGAUCAUGACAUGAGACCUGUAUUGUUGCUUUUCUGGUUCGCUGCUGCAGACAUCUACCCUUCACUUUAGUCCUUAUCACAGAAAUGUGUUGCUUUCACAUUUGUUUGUUGCUAGUGGAUACCACAUCUAUGUUUCUCACAGAAGUUAGUAAUUAUGGCAAGAUCUCCUCUGAUUAUGUUCUUAAUUUGAUCUUUGCUUAAUGUCCCUGAUCUUAUUUAGAAAUUGGACACAAUGCAUUGAGUUACAAAGAGAGAUCCAGUGUGAAAAUGAAAGCUGGUGUCUAGAUGAUUCCAUGUAUUGUGUUGUCAGCAGGUAAGCUGGGAAGCUAUAUCCCAUCAUCCUUCUCCUUAGGUCACGAGAAGGGAAAGAUGCAUGAGGUUUGGAAAUGAAGGUGCCAUGACCCUCAUAUAUUCUCUGCCAUCAGCAGAUAGAGAUGUGGGAACCUAGUGGGCCCAAGACACAGCACAUUCUCCUGUCUUCUGCCUCUGUCUGUCUAAGAACGGUCCCAACCAAACACAGGUUUGAUGUUAGUUUUCUUUCAGGCAGCGGAUUCCACAGACAUUUCCAGGAGCUCUCCCAUCAUGGGCCCUCUUAGGUCUUCAGAUUCACACAGAUUCUUCCCGUAGCUCUUUGAUGUACAACAGGCCACUUCUUCAGGCUAUGGAGUGUAGCAGUCUUCUCUCAUCUUGUCAUUUCCUUUAUCUUUAAUGCCUCUCCUAAUUAUGUGAUUUUUGUAGGAAGCAUCUUGUUUCUCUACUGGUAGAUCUUUUUCCUGCCUCCACCCUGACAUAUUUAACACUGGAGCCACAAUACAGGAAACUUACCUCCCAGGUUGCAUUGUUGAGAGGCUGCACUGACCUUGCGUUUCUUGUUUCUGAAUACUUCGGUGGUGGAAAUGUGCCUUUGUGACUACAUUUGGCAGUUUGUGGAAGUUUUCUCUUUUAGCUGAAUGCUCUCUAAAUUAUAAGCCCAGUAUGUUUAAUUAUGCUCAAUUUUUAUAUGUGAUUACCAAAUGUUUGAUUCUCAUUUAAAAAAUAUUUUAUUUAUUUAUUUGUAGAGGUGGGGGAAGUGAGGGAGAAAGAGAGGAAGAGAAACAUCAAUACAUGAGAGAAACAUUGAUUGGUUGCUGCUAGCACGUGUCCUGACCUGGGACCUGGCCUGCAAACCAGUAAUGGGUUUCCUUAUAAAAGAGAAAAUUUGGACCCAGAGAAGACAGACAUGUUCACCCCAU